AUUCUGAAGAAAUUGCGAAGGCUAUUAAUUUUUACAAACCAAGGUAAUCUUUUUUUUUUUUUUUUUUUUUACCCCUUUUUUGGUUGGUGGUGGAGCUGAAGGGAGAAUAUUUAGGAUAACUGAACAGAGAUGUUUGAUUUUUGUUUUCCAAAAUGUAAACAUGCCAGAUCUUUGUUUCUUUAUUAAAAAUGUUCCUUUGAU
rnacentral:lncRNA from 10 species